GACAGGAGGCUGACAGAGGCUGACAGAGGACACUUGGGUACUUUAUCUCCCAAGUUAAAUAUGCAUCUGGAGCUCACCUGUGUGCUAAAGGCCUCCAUUCCUCUCUCCGGGCUGAGACAGACCAGGUCAUCCCAGAGACCAGCUGAAUGUCACCAAUGAUGCCAAUCAAAGCACAGGGAAAAGAAGUACCUGAAUUCCUGAUCCACAAAAUUAUGAGAUAUAAUAAUAUAGUAGCUGUUUUGCAGUGGUGGUUUACACAGCAGAAGAGAACAUGUAUAGGCAUGUAGGUGCCUGAGAUGGACCACUUCAGUUUUUAAGGCUCCUGGACUUUUGGCAUGCACUCACAGAUGGAAAGCUGUUCUAUCUAGCCCAAUUCAACGCAUUCAAGCAUAGGGAAAAACAUGCUGCUUUCCCCAAAUAGCUCUUAAUUUGAGACUUGAUACCAUUUCUGCAAGACAAACACUGGUGUGCUGUCCUGUGGAGCAAGUCUUCUCAACUGAUUACACACUGUUAACAAAGUA